AAAAAUCAUCUUUGUGUAUCUAUGCCAUUUACCAAAUGUAUACUAUGCCAUUUACCAAAUGUAUACAAAGUAUACAUUUGGUAAAUGGCAUAGAUACACAAAGAUGAUUUUUU
rnacentral:pre_miRNA from 12 species